UCACACACAUAAGUGUAACUCUGUUGACAUUCGUGGAGUUACUCCUCGUUUACAGCAAUGCAAAGGAGAACAGACUCAGGCCCAAGAGGGGCAAAUCUAGGAUGCGAACCUGCCUCGGAUGUCAAAAAGGCAACUUGCCAUGAAAUCUGAUAAUGUGCCACGGAUCACGGGGAUCCUUGGUACAAUCGCUGCUAUCAGUGCAGAAUGCAUCGCCUGUUUUACUGAGACGUCCGAACGGCCAUUAGGAAAACACAAAUAUUCAUGUCAAGCCUGCUUGCCAGAAGUAUGGUGCCAUUACUCCAAUGAAUUGAUCGCGUUUGUAGAUGGGCCUCGAGGAUAUAGUUUCUGAGGCAAAUAGUUUGUUUCUCAUACAUUCCGUACCGUUGAACCCAAUACCAAGAAAUACAAUGAAACCAAAUGUUUGAAUGCCAGGGUACACACUUCAUAGGCACCGCUCUCCCGUUCCUCAGUUGAAAUGUCAGACCUUCCUGCCAUCUUACUUAAAGAGAAUUUAAGAUCUAAUGUCGAUUCAUUUGAUGUAAUAUGUUUGAAUAUUUCUCUAAAAAUAAAACAAAAGCAUUUUACUGUGGGGAAGAACUAUAAGGAGUCCUAGUUGUUAUUAUGGGCGGUGCAAUGUUCAAUGUUUCCAAAUGUUUACAAAGGUGAAAAUCAAGCUCUUUUUUAUUUACAUGCAUUAGUGAACAAGGAUUUUGGACUCCUAAAGCAAACCCUAAUAUGUUAAUUUCCUUUAAAAACAUUGUUUGUAUUCUUAUUACGAAAAUACAAUGUAGUGUUUUCUCAUAAAAGUUGAUUUUUGAUGCAUAUGGUCAAAUUAAAGUAGUUGGAUUCUGUGUUAAAUGAUUUUUAAUCUUCUGCGUUUUUAUGAAAAUAAAAGGCAGCACUUUGUCAUUUUUAACAAUGUAUGUAGCCAAUAAAUCUAAUUUCAACAUUGAUUUUUGUAGGAAUUAAGCGAUCUCUGCAUUAUCUGCUGUGAUUUGUUUUUGGAAACAAGCCUGCUUUCUCCUAGAUUAUGUAGUUUUUAUAAAUUGCUAAUUACCAAAGGAUUUUUCAUUAAUAUUGCUUACAUUUGACAGCUAUUUUUCAUAGAAGAUAUAUAUAUAUAUAUAUAUUGCGGGGUCAAAUAUAUAUAUAUGACCCUGCAAAUAUAUCAUACCAUCAAUAUACCAUCUAUAAUGGAGUUUUAUGAACCGCGUUAGGAAAGGCAUGGAACGUAACAUUUUCAGUGAAUAAUUCCUAUUCCUAUAAUUAGUUCUCAGAACAGUUUACAAAUUGUCAGUCUCCUAAUAUAAACGGGAAAAAGCGAGUGAUCACAUUCGCUCAUACAUGUAACUAACAAGCAUCUCAUCAACACAGAAACUUAUUAUAAUCAAAUGCAGCUACUGUGCAGCCUCCAACUGAUUAAAAUGCACCUAUGCCCGAAUUGAUUAAUGGAGGUUCUAAAACGGCACGUGUUUCUCUCUUGCUUUCUUGUACAAUCCAGUCUUUCUUUCGUUCCAUUUUUUGGGGACAGGGAUUUGUUAUUUCUUUAAGGAUCUGAGGGAGCAUCACUUUUUAACAAGCAGAGGAUUUUUAACGCCCUCCUUCCCUAACUGAUCAAACAGAUUAACAGUAUUCAUUAAAGUGAUAUUGAUCUCUAUUGUAUGACAGUCCAGGAGUGUAUGUAUAUUUGCAUACAUAUAUCUAUAUUCACUCAGAGAUGGUCUGUAAUGUAAUACUUGAAGAAAGAUACAUUUCAUGUCAUGUGAUAGAAACGUUUGUGUGAGAGAGAGAAAUCAGUGAAGUAGAGUUAAAUCUAGAUCACAUUUCCGGGUUAGAUUGUGUGUAAUAAAGUCCUGGGCGUUAUUAUAAUACUUUAAAUAGAUAUGAGUGAAUUUACUUUCCCUCCUUCACUAGACGUGGUAAUGUAGAUGGUGACUGAAGAAAACCGUGAUGCUGUAAGCUGCCGAGUUCCCUCAAUUGCCAUUCAAUUCAAUGGGAAAAGGUGUUCAGCUCUGCGAGGAUCUGGUCCUAACUCCUGUCUAGGGCGUAUCAAAAAUAGGGAAAUGUUGCUUAACUACAGAAGAUCUGAAUGUGCCCAGGGAUAUUUUUUCCAUAUGAUUUUUCUCAGUGGGAAUGCUACUUCGGGCCAGAUCGUGCUGCCGGAUUAAUCGAACCGAUCUGACCCCCCAAAUAUCUCCGACUUUUCAUCUUGGAAUGCUUCAAAUUUGACCUCGUCAAAUUAGCAACGCAGCUACUAGGGUCCAGGGCUGCUCCGGAGAAUGAAACACACUCGCUCUGUCAAUGGACAGCGGAAGCCGCAAAAUUAAACUUUUGUGUCAGGGUUGUUGGUUUUUUCCUCCCCUUUCAAACUUGGAAAUAGGUUGGCGUCUGUAUUUAUUUUGACUCAAGGAGCUCCGACAUCUUUUCCAUUGCAAUGCUCACAAAACAAAAUGUAAAACGGUGUUUUCAA